GAUGAACGCUAGCGGAAGGCUUAAUACAUGCAAGUCGAGCGGUAGGUGGCUUCGGCCAUUGAGAGCGGCGCAAGGGUGCGUAACGCGUGAGCAACAUGCCCUAUACAGGGGGAUAAUCCAGGGAAACUUGGUCUAAUAUCCCAUAGUAUUUAGAGGAGGCAUCUUCUAUAAAUUAAAGCUUCGGUGGUAUAGGAUUGGCUCGCGUGACAUUAGCUAGAUGGUGAGGUAACGGCUCACCAUGGCAAUGAUGUCUAGGGGUUCUGAGAGGAAGGCCCCCCAACUGGUACUGAGACACGGACCAGACUCCUACGGGAGGCAGCAGUGAGGAAUAUUGGUCAAUGGGGCGCAAGCCUGAACCAGCCAUCCCGCGUGCAGGAAGACGGCCCUAUGGGUUGUAAACUGCUUUUCCAGGGAGAGAAACUUACGCACGUGUUGCGUGACUGACGGUACCUGGGAAUAAGCAUCGGCUAACUCCGUGCCAGCACG
rnacentral:rRNA from 1 species